UUUCUAUAAAGAAGAAAAAUAAAUAAAUAUCUAAUAAUUAAAAACAUAAUUAAAUAAAAGCGGCAAAAAAUGUAUGAACGUUUCAAACGUUGUGACGUCACGAUCUGUGUGAUCCGCCAUAAAUAACCGACGACGUCUGUCACUCACAUCAUCAAACUAAAUAACGACUUAUGUGGUUUCCACAGAAAACUAUGACAUGCAAACAGCACGGGUUUGAGCUUCUAGUGGCUUGGAGGAAAACUGCAACACGUUUCUGCACUUAACAAAAGUUUUACCAAAAAUAAAAACCCUAUAAGAUCAUCUCCAUUCACAUAUGAAGAUCUAAAUCACAUUUUCGGACAAAGUUGUGAGCCUGAACGUGUGAUCCCGUAUAUCUGAUAUCACAUCUGACAAUGUUAUUGGAAAAAUCUGACUCCUGCACUUGGAAACCUGGAUUCACUGUUACCUGUCAAUGAAUCACAUUGUUUUAAAGGGUGAACAUAAUAUGGUGAUGUAACUUUACCUGAUGAAGGGUUUGGAAAUGGCCAGGACGGUUCGGAUAAACCAGGAGGGG